rnacentral:rRNA from 1 species
AUUGAACGCUGGCGGCAUGCCUUACACAUGCAAGUCGAACGGCAGCACGGGUGCUUGCACCUGGUGGCGAGUGGCGAACGGGUGAGUAAUACAUCGGAACGUACCUUAUCGUGGGGGAUAACGCAGCGAAAGUUGCGCUAAUACCGCAUACGCCCUGAGGGGGAAAGCGGGGGACCGUAAGGCCUCGCGCGAUUAGAGCGGCCGAUGUCUGAUUAGCUUGUUGGUGAGGUAAAAGCCACCCAAGGCGAUGAUCAGUAGCUGGUCUGAGAGGACGAUCAGCCACACUGGGACUGAGACAAGGCCCAUAGGCCUACGGGAGGCAGCAGUGGGGAAUUUUGGACAAGGGGGGCAACCCUCAUCCAGCAAUGCCGCGUGAUUGAAGAAGGCCUUCGGGUUGUAAAGCUCUUUUGUCAGGGAAGAACCAGCAGCUCUAACACAGUCUGCGAAUGACGGUACCUGAAGAAUAAUCACCGGCUAACUACGUGCCAGCCGCCGCCGUAA